rnacentral:rRNA from 1 species
AUAAGCGGAGGAAAAGAAACCAACCGGGAUUGCCUCAGUAACGGCGAGUGAAGCGGCAAGAGCUCAAAUUUGAAAUCUGGCCCCUUUGGGGUCCGAGUUGUAAUUUGCAGAGGAUGCUUCGGGUGCGGUCCCCGUCUAAGUGCCCUGGAACGGGCCGUCAUAGAGGGUGAGAAUCCCGUCUGGGAUGGGCGGCCGCGCCCGUGUGAAGCUCCUUCGACGAGUCGAGUUGUUUGGGAAUGCAGCUCUAAGCGGGUGGUAAAUUUCAUCUAAAGCUAAAUACUGGCCGGAGACCGAUAGCGCACAAGUAGAGUGAUCGAAAGAUGAAAAGCACUUUGAAAAGAGAGUUAAACAGCACGUGAAAUUGUUGAAAGGGAAGCGUUGUCCACCAGACUCGCCCGGGGGGGUUCAGCCGGCACGUGUGCCGGUGUACUCCUCUCCGGGCGGGCCAGCAUCGGUUUGGGCGGCUGGUGAAAGGCCCCGGGAAUGUGCCACCCUUCGGGGUGCCUUAUAGCCCGGGGUGCCAUGCAGCCAGCCUGGACCGAGGCCCGCGCUUCGGCGAGGAUGCUGGCGUAAUGGUGGUCAACGGCCCGUCUUGA